rnacentral:rRNA from 1 species
UGGGGAAUAUUGGACAAUGGGCGAAAGCCUGAUCCAGCCAUGCCGCGUGUGUGAAGAAGGCCUUUUGGUUGUAAAGCACUUUAAGCGAGGAGGAGGCUACUUAGAUUAAUACUCUAGGAUAGUGGACGUUACUCGCAGAAUAAGCACCGGCUAACUCUGUGCCAGCAGCCGCGGUAAUACAGAGGGUGCGAGCGUUAAUCGGAUUUACUGGGCGUAAAGCGUGCGUAGGCGGCUUUUUAAGUCGGAUGUGAAAUCCCUGAGCUUAACUUAGGAAUUGCAUUCGAUACUGGGAAGCUAGAGUAUGGGAGAGGAUGGUAGAAUUCCAGGUGUAGCGGUGAAAUGCGUAGAGAUCUGGAGGAAUACCGAUGGCGAAGGCAGCCAUCUGGCCUAAUACUGACGCUGAGGUACGAAAGCAUGGGGAGCAAACAAG